AUUAAAUGGCUGCGGUAUUUUGACCGUGCAAAGGUAGCAUAAUCAUUAGUUUAUUAAUUGUUAACUUGUAUGAAUGGUUUGAUGAAAUAAAAUCUGUCUUCAUUAUUAUAAUUAUAAUUUAAUUUUUUGGUUAAAAAGCCUAAUUUUAAUUAAGGGACGAGAAGACCCUAUAGAUCUUUAUUUUUUUAUAUUUUUAUUUGUUAAAUUUAUAUUUAAAUUUUUAUUAAAUUUGGUUGGGGUGACAAGGGGAAAUAUUAAACUCUUCUUUAUUUUUUCAUUUAUUUUUGUUAUUUUAAAUUUUUAUUAUUUUUUUUAGAAUUAGAUACCUUAGGGAUAACAGCGUAAUUUAAUUUGAGAGUUCUUAUUGACAAUUAANAUUGCGACCUCGAUGUUGGAUUAAGAAUAUAUUAUGGUGUAUAAGUCAUAAAAAUUAGGUCUGUUCGACCUUUGAUAUCUUACAUGAUCUGAGUUCAA
rnacentral:rRNA from 1 species